rnacentral:rRNA from 1 species
GCGCAGCAGGCGAGAAUAGUCUACAAUGGACGAAAGUCUGAUAGUGCGACGCCGUGUGUGCGAUUAAUUCCUUCGGGAUGUAAAGCACUUUUCUAUGAGAUAAAAGCUCUUUAGGUUAAUAGCUUAUUGAGACGGAUAUUAUUAUAGGAAUAAGCUCCGGCUAACUCCGUGCCCAGCAGCCGCGGUAAUACGGAAGGAGCGAGCGUUGUCCGGGAUUUACUAGGCGUAAAGGGCUAGUAGGCGACUAAUUAAGUUAUAUGUUAAAUCCCACGGCUCAACUGUGGUCCUGCAUGUAAUACUGGUUAGAUAGAGUACUGUAGAGGAAGGCAGAAUUCCUGGAGUAGCGGUGGAAUGCGCAGAUAUCAGGAAGAAUACCAAAAGCGAAGGCAGCUCUGGCAGUACUGACGCUGAAUAGCGAAGGUGUGGGUAGCGAACAGGA